CACUACUUGUCGGAGUGCCUGCGGGCUGAGAUCGCUGUUGCGAGAUCCGUUGAACCUGAUCGGGGUAACCCCCGCGUAGGGAACAAGAUCUGAAGUCGC
rfam:Microbulbifer donghaiensis strain CGMCC 1.7063 genome assembly, contig: Ga0070181_107